rnacentral:rRNA from 1 species
GAGGUCCCGCCUGCCCAGUGAUGGUUUCAACGGCCGCGGUACUCUAACCGUGCAAAGGUAGCACAAUCACUUGUUCUCUAAAUUAGGACUAGAAUCAACGGCACCACGAAGGUCUAACUGUCUCCUUAAUCCAAUCAGUGAAACUGAUCUUCCCGUGAAAAAGCGGGAAUAACUUUAUAAGACGAGAAGACCCCAUGGAGCUUCAAACUCAACAGCUAUCCACAUAAACUACACUUUAAUUUAAAGGACAUAUCUGUUAGUUUUAGGUUGGGGUGACCGCGGAAAAUAGCACAACCUCCGCAAUGAAAGAAUAAUUCUUAUCUAAGAGACACACCUCUAAGAAAUAAUAUAUUGACAUAUAAUGAUCCGAUACUUAUUCGAUCAAUGAACCAAGUUACCCUGGGGAUAACAGCGCCAUCCACCCUUAGAGUUCUUAUCGUCGGGUGGGUUUACGACCUCGAUGUUGGAUCAGGGUGUCCUGGUGGUGCAGCCGCUACUAAAGGUUCGUUUGUUCAACGAUUAAAACCCU